CGGAGGUAGUGCGCAGAGGCUUCGCCGGCGCCCGGCGCCGCCAGCCCGCCACGUCAGCUCAGUUCGCCACCGCGAUGAGAAGGGAGUGGGUGUGGGUCUGAGGGUGGUGAGCCAUGUGGCGAGUGUUGCUAGGACUGUGGUGAGAGCUUCGGCAAAAGACAACGCUGAGAGACUCGAGGGACAGGGAGUUAAUUCGUAGGAGCAGUCACGUACGCACGGAACUCCACACUGGGUCCCCAAAGACGGAUUAAAUCCUGCUUGUUGCUGUCCAUGUUCCAACCUUCGGCACCCUGUUAAGUAAGCCCAUGUGGACAAACAGGAGGCACAGGAUAUUUCUGUUUGUACUGGGAUGCACAGUGAUAAUUUUUGGCUUACUGCCUAUAAGGUAAGGUGAGGAGAGGAUGCACCUUGAAACCAGUUACUUCAGCUUGACCCUUUGUGUGAUCCAAGGAUCUCUUGAAUGUUCAGGAAUGAACUACUACUGGUCACUUCUGCUAAGUGGUUCAGCAACCCGGAAGGAAUUAUUACCGACAACUGUGCUGCACAUGAAGGGAACAAGCUGCUCCAUUACAAGAUAAUUAACGACCACUUCCUGGAAACUCAUGAACAUGUGGGAAGGAAGAAGGCCCAAGACACAAACAAGAUGGAAUAUGGACAGAGCAUCAAUGCCCAGAUGGAGGGGAGACCGAUGGUAGAAGGCCUAGAGCAGACAGACUGCAGGGUGUCCAGGAAGGAACUACUGGUUGCUGCUGCUGCUGCUGCUGCUAAGUGGGUCACCAUCCAGGAAGUAUUACCAACAACUGUGCAUAUUACAAGACAAUAACCACCACCUCAACUCCUGCAAUUGUUACUAAUGAAGAUAAGACCAGGAGAGGAAAAAAAAAUUAGAUGCAGUAAAGACAAGGGGGGAAAAAGCUAGAAGGCGAAGACUCAGACAAGAUGAAAAAGGUGAAGGCAACAGAUGCAGGAGGAUGUGCGAGAGCCUUCACACCACAAGCUGGGACAUCAAGGGUCAAGAUGCAGAAACUCGGGCAGAAAAAUGCAGUGCCAACUACAGGAGGAGGCCAAUUUACAGCCAACUACAGGAGGAGGCCAAUUUACAGGGGAGAGAAAAAAGUCCAGGAUAGAGAGAGAGAGAAGACUCAAGGGAGAAAGUAAGUAAGUGCUAGGGAAUGCAGGAAAGGAAAGAAAGACAGAAAACUGGCAUUAACCAUUGUUGGGCUGCCACAUAGACUAGGAGGGAAUUGCAAAUGCCCUCACCAGCAAAUAAUUAAUUCUCAAACUAAUCAGUAGAAGCAUACGUAAAUUAUAAAAAUUUAUUUUCAUCCUCAGAUAUAGAUCUUUAA